CUGAGCUGAUCUGAUGGAAGAUGUCGGAGCAUCGGGUCCUUUUCAGUUCAGAGCUGAUCCUGUUUGUGAACUGAUGCUCAGAUGUUGCUUCAAAAACUCUGUUAGAUUUUUGUUGUUGUGAACUGACCUGAAGUCAGUGUGUGACUGUCAGCGGACAAACAGCUGUUGUGUUGAAUCUGUCGUUUGUCAUCAUUUAGGAGCCUUAAACUCCACAUGCUGUUAGUUGAUCACUCUGAAAUGUGUUUUCACUCCGAGUCAAGCUGUUCCUCUGUUUUCUUAUCGAACUGUGAGAGUGACUGGAUGAUUUCCAGUUUCUAACCUGGAGAGAAGCUCGCACGUUUGUGUGCCUAUUUUGGAGAAGUUUCGUUGUUGGUUCCGCAUGACUUGGUAAAGGUACCAGAGGUUCAGAGUGCGUAAUUACGCAUACGGUGUUGUGCGCUGCAGCUGGUUGGCUGGAUGAGUGUUUUCUAGCGGUGGUGGAGACUGUGGCAGCAUCUUGUAAACACAGUACACGUAGUAUCAUGAAAGGUGAAGAAAUCAGUGAAGGUGCUCACACCCUCUUUUCAAACGGUCACAUUUAAAGUUCAUUUUAAUACGAUGUGGUUUGAUGGUGGAGACACCAGUGAAAUGAUUUUAUUAACAUGUUACUGUGUGGAUGCAUCACUGCUGCAUGUGACUGGAUCUGAAUCUGUUCUGUGUAUUUAGUAUUUACUGGUUGAGGUGGAAUCACUGUGAGAAAUUAGGGGUUUGAACAGUUGCUUUUUUCUGUACUGUUAUUAUAUCAUACAAAGUCAGCAUUUCUAAAUGUAAUUGCAUAAACUGGCACAAUGAUGGUAAAUGAUAAAAACUUUACAGAACUGGUAAAUAAUGUCCGCAUCAAAGAUCUGUAUUUGUAUGAAUGGUAAUUUGUUCUUUGAUGACAUUUGACCUCAAAAUCACACUAUUUUCACUGUAUUUAUUUCUAUUAGCAUUUUAUAGAUAUUUCCUUAUUUUGAAAAAACAUACUUAUAUUAAGUGCUGACAGAUGGUAAUCAUUUCUAAAUUGUAAUUCUGUGUUUAAAGCGGUGACCUAGACACAAUAUGAGGAUGAAGUAAAACAGGCAGAACAUUGGUUUGUGAUGCUUCAGAGCUCUGAGUGUGUUUCUAGUCUCUGCUGACUAAAGACACACAAAGUGAGGAUUGAAAUUGUGCAGUUUUCAUUUUGGAACGGGCUUUGUACAGAAAUGUGAGAAACAGCCUGAAAGCCAGAAAGUGUCCUCUCAGUGUAAAAUGGAACUUUGCUGCCUGCCUUGGUUUAACCCUCCUGUUGUCCUCAUUUACAGGCACCAAAAAAUACUGUUUCCUUGUCUGAAAAAAAAUCCAAAAAUUCAGCAAAAAAAUUCCCCAAAUUUCUGAAAAUUUGCAAAACCUUCAGGAAGAAAAUUUCAAUAAUUCCUUAAAAGUUUUAUUUUUUUUAAAAAUCCCCCAAAUUUGGCAAGAAAAUUCUUGUUGUUCAAAGAUUUCCCAAAAAUGUUGAAAAUGUGGACAUUAGAAGUUUCACUGUGAAAAUAUAUAUUUUUUCCACAUUUUCAAACUAAAAUGGGCCAAUUUUGACGGGCAGGACAACACCAGGGUUAAAAAGCUGGCUCUGUGGUCGGAAUCAAAUUGAACUCAUUGGAAGAUGAGGAGAGACGUGCACUGAGCAAGGUGGAGGCCAUUCUGACAAACAUGGAUCAUCUACUUCAUAUCUGCCUCAAUGAGCAACGAAACCUCGGUGGUAAACGGCUCCUAUUCCUGUGCUGCAGACAGAAAGAUUUAGAAAAUCUUACCAUCAGCAAUUAGAGUAUUUAAUUCUAAAGUAAACUGAUGAGACCCCAGACACUUGAAUUUCCCUUUGGGGAUAAAUAAAGUUAUUAUAUUGUAUUGUAGCUCCAGGGACUGAAGGUGUCCUGUAAUGUGCAGCAACAUGUUCUCCUCUGAGGCUGCUCAUUUAGAUCUUAUGUUCUAUCAGUGUUGUGAAGCAGUGCUCUAAACAUUGAGGAAAACAAUCAGUGUCCAUCUUUGACACGACAGCAGCAGCAGCGUCUGAGCAGCUUCACCACUGUGUUCACCUGGAUCCAGUUUAGUUUGAUGGAACCAAGUGAACGAUGUGAGGAGCAGAAAGUCUCUGAGGUCAGACAGCAGCACUUUGAAAUAUUGCUUUGUUUCUGUUUUCAGAGGACUUGGGACCUCCAUUGGAGCCCCGAACCACCGAUCCUCCAACUGGUUACACACACACACACACUCACACACACACACACACAAACACACACCCACCACGUUUACCCACCAUCCUCACCCUGUCUCUCCCUCCUCCUCCUCCUCCUCCUCCUCCUCCUCCUCCUCCUCCUCCUCCUCCUCCUCCUCCAUGGUUUCUCUCCUCCCUCCCCUCUUCUCUCGUCUCUCCCUUUCUCCACCCUCCUCUCAGCACAGCUGCCAGAUAGGUAAGAGAGGUGCUGAGCCUCCAGCAGGCCAACCUCCAAGUAAGAGGUCUCGCACUUAAACUCUUAUUUAUUAUAGUUUAAGUGCAGUUUCUUUUUUUUUUUUUUAAGUUUAACUGAAUGUGAUUUAUGUUGGAUGUGAUCUGGUCAGACUUUAUUUGAAUGAAUCUGUUGUGAUGAUGUCUGAUCGAUCUAUUCCAACUUUAUUUGAAUAUAUUUUCUCUUUGUAUAGUGUGAUUUAUGUUGGAUUGUGAUUUCAUCAGACUUUAUUUGAAUGAAUCUGUUGUGAUGAUGUCUGAUCUAUUCUGACUUUAUUUGAAUCAUUUUUUCUGGUUUUAUUGUAUAUAGUUCGUUUGCAAAAUGUGAUUUAUGUUGGAUGCGAUCUGACCAGAUUUUAUUUGAAUGAAUCUGUUGUGAUGGUGUCUGGUUGAUCUAUUCCAACUUUAUUUGAAUGAAAUUAAAUUGAAUAUCUAUUGUUUGUGGCCCUGCAAUGGACUGGCGAGCUGUCCAGGGUGUCUCUGCCUUCGCCCUGAGUCGGCUGGGAGAGGCUCCAGCCCCGCGUGACCCUACAGAGGAUCAAGCGGAGUGAGGAUGGAUGGAUGGAUGGAUGGAUGGAUGGAUGGAUGGAUGGAUGGAUGAAUGGAGUGUGAUUCCAACUGAACUCUGUCCUUGUCAGUGGGACUCAGGUCAGGGUGCCUUUCAGAGGUGUGGGUGGAUCUGGGGGGAAUAGCAUCCUCACAGUGAAACUCCGCUCUGGGUAAAGGUGAGAAGGAUGCAGACAGCAUGUCAUGAAGUAGUAAUAUGUGUGUCUGCGUCCCAUCCUGGACCCACAGUGGAGUCCACAGCGACAAGGACCAGAGUUCAGUGGAAUCACACUGGGAGGGGGGAGGAAGCUUUCACGGGCCACUGCACAGCAGUGGCCCGUGACAAGGUAAGUUUUAGGUUUUGAUUAUAUAUUCAUAAUAAACAAAGUUUUUAAAUAUCCAAUAGGAGGUGAGCAAUAUUCUGACAUGUUCUCCUGUUGUUUUUUCCAGCCCCAGCAGACCCAUGAAGAUGACCAACCGAGCCCACCAGAGACGACCCCAGAGACUGCAACCAGACGACAGGACAACUUUCUAAGGAGCAGAAUGCACUGCUGUUUCCUGGCCCCCAACGAUUUCAACAAGGAUGGAACAUCAAGGAGAAAAAAGUCAUUAAGAAGAAAAGGAUGAUGGGAACUAGAUCCAGGAGCAGUGCAUGAGAUGUGAGACCACUCAACUAAAACAAGAGCUCUCUCUCCAAGACACCCAGUAAAAUGAAUGAUCAGAUCAGGACAAGAAACUAGAUCAAGAGCAGCCACAGUAUGUGAACUGAGACAAUGGAAGAGGGGAUGCUUAAUAUAGUGACACAAAAGGAGGAAGUGAGAGUACAAAGAAAAAGCCACACAGCCACAGAGAGAACAUGGAUGGAAAGAAACAGAUGACCAGCAGAAUCUAAGAAGAUAAAGAAACACUUCGAGGAGCCUCCAGACGAUCAACGACAGAAGAAACAUGUCAGAGAACAGGAGGAAGAUGAAUAACAGCAUCAAAGAGAGAAAAAGAAACAGACCCAAGAAGAAGAAGAAACAGACCCAAGAAGAAGACCCAAGAAGAAGAAGACCCAAGAAGAAACAGACCCAAGAAGAAGAAGAAACAGACCCAAGAAGAAGAAACAGACCCAAGAAGAAGAAGACCCAAGAAGAAACAGA